UACGUAGGGCGCAAGCGUUAUCCGGAUUUACUGGGCGUAAAGAGCGCGCAGGCGGUCGAUCAAGUCGAGUGUGAAAGCCCCCGGCUCAACUGGGGAGGGUCAUUCGAUACUGAUCGACUCGAAGGCAGGAGAGGGUAGUGGAAUUCCCGGUGUAGUGGUGAAAUGCGUAGAUAUCGGGAGGAACACCAGUGGCGAAGGCGGCGACCUGGACGGACAUUGACGCUGAGACGCGAAAGCGUGGGGAGCAAACAGG
rnacentral:rRNA from 1 species